UCAAGUUAAAAAGAGCACUAGGUGAAUGCCUAGGCACCAAGAGGCGAAGAAGGACGCGACAAGCUGCGAAAAGCUACGGAAAGGAGCAAAUAUCUUAUGACCCGUAGAUCUCCGAAUGGGGAAACCCACCUCAUAAGAGGUAUCCUAUAGCCAAUCCAUAACUAUAGGAAGCGAACCAGGUGAACUGAAACAUCUAAGUAACCUGAGGAAAAGAAAGAAAACUCGAUUCCCUAAGUAGCGGCGAGCGAACGGGGAAGAGCCCGAUGUGUAUAAAGAGACAAUAGCCAGCCAAAUAAUCUGGGAAGAUUAACCAAAGAAGGUAAGAGUCCUGUAGGCGAAAGCGAAGAUAUCCGACACAAAAGAGUACCACGGAACACGAGAAAUUCAGUGGGAAUAUGGGGGGACCACCCCCUAAGGCUAAAUACUACUUGGUGACCGAUAGCGAACAAGUACCGUGAGGGAAAGGUGAAAAGAACCCCGUGAGGGGAGUGAAAUAGAAUCUGAAACCUAGUGUUUACAAGCAGCGAAAGUGGUUUUGCACCACGAUCGUGUACUUUUUGUAGAACGGGCCAGCGAGUUACGAUUACUAGCGAGGUUAAGCAUUAAAGAUGCGGAGCCGAAGCGAAAGCGAGUCUAAAUAGGGCGGAAGUUAGUGGUUGUAGACCCGAAACCGUGUGAUCUAUCCAUGAGCAGAGUGAAGUUGAAGUAAAAUUCAAUGGAGGCUCGAACCGGGUAACGUUUAAAAGUUAUCGGAUGACUUGUGGAUAGGGGUGAAAAGCCAAACGAACACGGAGAUAGCUGGUUCUCCUCGAAAUAGCUUUAGGGCUAGCCUCUAGUAAGACAUGAAAAGGGGGUAGAGCACUGAUUGGUCAAGGGGCAUGCAUAUGUUACCAAGACCUAUCAAACUCCGAAUACCAUAUCAUGCACUAGGGAGUCAGACUAUGUGGGAUGAGCUUCAUAGUCGAAAGGGAAAGAGCCCAGACCAUCAGCUAAGGUCCCAAAAUUAUAGUUAAGUGGGAAAGGAUGUGGAGUUACUGAGACAACUAGGAUGUUGGCUUAGAAGCAGCCACUCAUUUAAAGAGUGCGUAAUAGCUCACUAGUCAAGUGACUCUGCGCCGAAGAUAACCGGGGCUAAACUAUAUACCGAAGCUAUGGAACGUAUAACGUUGGUAGAGGAGCAAUGUAUGAAGGACGAAGCAGAAGUCGUAAGGCACUGUGGACAUCAUACAAGAGAGAAUGCUGGCAUGAGUAGCGAGAGGUGAGUGAGAAUCUCACCCGUCGAAAACCCAAGGAUUCCUGAGCAAGGCUCGUCCACUCAGGGUAAGUCGGGACCUAAGGCGAGGCUGAAAAGCGUAGUCGAUGGACAACAGGUGGAAAUUCCUGUACCGAUACAAUCAUUAAAGGAAGUGGGGACGCAGAAGGAUAAUAAGAGCGCCCAGUUGGUGAGGCGUGCAAGCGCAAAGGAUGGAAAGUAGGCAAAUCCGCUUUCCGAGAAGUCUGAAGCGUAAUGCGGAUCGAAAACAAGUAGAGAAGCUUAUGACUCCACACUGCCAAGAAAAGCCACUACUAGAGAAGUAUCGCCCGUACCGUAAACCGACACAGGUAGGUGAGGAGAGAAUCCUAAGACGAGCGGAAAAACCUUUGUUAAGGAACUCGGCAAAAUGACCCCGUAACUUCGGGAGAAGGGGAGCCCCUGUAAAAGGGGGCCGCAGUGAAAAGGCCCAAGCGACUGUUUACCAAAAACACAAGUUUCUGCUAAGUCGAAAGACGAAGUAUAGGAGCUGACACCUGCCCGGUGCUGGAAGGUUAAGGGAAAAAGUUAGCGUAAGCGAAGCUUAGAACUGAAGCCCCAGUAAACGGCGGCCGUAACUAUAACGGUCCUAAGGUAGCGAAAUUCCUUGUCGGGUAAGUUCCGACCC
rnacentral:rRNA from 1 species